rnacentral:rRNA from 1 species
UGGGGAAUUUUGGACAAUGGGCGAAAGCCUGAUCCAGCAAUGCCGCGUGUGUGAAGAAGGCCUUCGGGUUGUAAAGCACUUUUGUCCGGAAAGAAAUCCUUGGCUCUAAUACAGUCGGGGGAUGACGGUACCGGAAGAAUAAGCACCGGCUAACUAUGUGCCAGCAGCCGCGGUAAUACGUAGGGUGCAAGCGUUAAUCGGAAUUACUGGGCGUAAAGCGUGCGCAGGCGGUUUGCUAAGACCGAUGUGAAAUCCCCGGGCUCAACCUGGGAACUGCAUUGGUGACUGGCAGGCUAGAGUAUGGCAGAGGGGGGUAGAAUUCCACGUGUAGCAGUGAAAUGCGUAGAGAUGUGGAGGAAUACCGAUGGCGAAGGCAGCCCCCUGGGCCAAUACUGACGCUCAUGCACGAAAGCGUGGGGAGCAAACAGGAUUAGAUACCCUGGUAGUCCACGCCCUAAACGAUGUCAACUAGUUGUUGGGGAUUCAUUUCCUUAGUAACGUAGCUAACGCGUGAAGUUGACCGCCUGGGGGAGUACGGUCGCAAGAUUAAAACUCAAAGGAAUUGACGGGGUCAUAGCUGUUUCCU